AGCGUAGACGGUGUGGCAAGUCUGAUGUGAAAGGCAUGGGCUCAACCUGUGGACUGCAUUGGAAACUGUCAUACUUGAGUGCCGGAGGGGUAAGCGGAAUUCCUAGUGUAGCAGUGAAAUGCGUAGAUAUUAGGAGGAACACCAGUGGCGAAGGCGGCUUACUGGACGGUAACUGACGUUGAGGCUCGAAAGUGUGGUAGCAAACA
rnacentral:rRNA from 1 species